rnacentral:rRNA from 1 species
GAUGAACGCUGGCGGCGUGCUUAACACAUGCAAGUCGAACGGAAAGGCUCCUGCUUGCAGGGGUACUCGAGUGGCGAACGGGUGAGUAACACGUGGGUGAUCUGCCCUGCACUUCGGGAUAAGCCUGGGAAACUGGGUCUAAUACCGGAUAGGACGAUGGUUUGGAUGCCAUUGUGGAAAGUUUUUUCGGUGUGGGAUGAGCUCGCGGCCUAUCAGCUUGUUGGUGGGGUAAUGGCCUACCAAGGCGUCGACGGGUAGCCGGCCUGAGAGGGUAUACGGCCACAUUGGGACUGAGAUACGGCCCAGACUCCUACGGGAGGCAGCAGUGGGGAAUAUUGCACAAGGGGCGCAAGCCUGAUGCAGCGACGCCGCGUGGGGGAUGACGGCCUUCGGGUUGUAAACUCCUUUCGCUAGGGACGAAGCGCAAGUGACGGUACCUGGAGAAGAAGCACCGGCUAACUACGUG